rnacentral:rRNA from 1 species
UCAGGAUGAACGCUGGCGGCGUGCCUAACACAUGCAAGUCGAGCGAUUCACUUCGGUGAAGAGCGGCGGACGGGUGAGUAACGCGUGGGUAACCUGCCUCAUACACAUGGAUAACAUACCGAAAGGUAUGCUAAUACAGGAUGAUAUAAGAGAUUCGCAUGGAUUUCUUAUCAAAGCUCCGGCGGUAUGAGAUGGACCCGCGUCUGAUUAGCUAGUUGGUAAGGUAAUGGCUUACCAAGGCGACGAUCAGUAGCCGACCUGAGAGGGUGAUCGGCCACAUUGGAACUGAGACACGGUCCAAACUCCUACGGGAGGCAGCAGUGGGGAAUAUUGCACAAUGGGCGAAAGCCUAAUGCAGCAACGCCGCGUGAGUGAUGAAGGCCUUCGGGUCGUAAAACUCUGUCCUCAAGGAAGAUAAUGACGGUACUUGAGGAGGAAGCCCCGGCUAACUACGUGCCAGCCGCCGC